CCUUCCAUGCUUCCAAGAAAAGCAUCUAGAGAGAGAAGUAGUGCCCGUACCGCAAACCGACACAGGUAGAUGAGGAGAGAAUCCUAAGGCCGGCGGAAGAAUUGCAGUUAAGGAACUAGGCAAAUUGACCCCGUAAGUUCGCGAGAAGGGGUGCCUGCGAGAGCAGGCCGCAGAGAAUAGGCCCAAGCAACUGUUUUAGCAAAAACACAGGUCUCUGCUAAAGCGUAAGCUGAUGUAUAGGGGCUGACGCCUGCCCGGUGCUGGAAGGUUAAGGGGAACACUUAGCGCAAGCGAAGGUGUGAACUUAAGCCCCAGUAAACGGCGGCCGUAACAAUAACGGUCCUAAGGUAGCGAAAUUCCUUGUCAGGUAAGUUCUGACCCGCACGAAUGGCGUAAUGACUUGGGCACUGUCUCAACUGCAAAUCCGGCGAAGUUGUAGUGCGAGUGAAGAUGCUCGCUACCCGCGAUUGGACGGAAAGACCCCGUAGAGCUUUACUGUAGCUUAGCAUUGAAUUCCGGUAUUGUCUGUACAGGAUAGGUGGGAGACUGGGAAACUAGGGCGUCAGCCUUAGUGGAGUCAACCUUGGGAUACCACCCUGACAGUACUGGGGUUCUAACAGGACGCCAUGAAGCUGGUGACUGGACAUUGUUAGGUGGGCAGUUUGACUGGGGCGGUCGCCUCCUAAAAAGUAACGGAGGCGCCCAAAGGUUCCCUCAGAACGGUCGGAAAUCGUUCGUAGAAUGCAAAGGCAGAAGGGAGCCUGACUGCGAGACCCACAAGUCGAGCAGGGACGAAAGUCGGGCUUAGUGAUCCGGUGGUACCUCGUGGGAGGGCCAUCGCUCAACGGAUAAAAGCUACCUCCGGGAUAACAGGCUGAUCUCCCCCAAGAGUCCACAUCGACGGGGAGGUUUGGCACCUCGAUGUCGGCUCGUCGCAUCCUGGGGCUGUAGUAGGUCCCAAGGGUUGGGCUGUUCGCCCAUUAAAGCGGCACGCGAGCUGGGUUCAGAACGUCGUGAGACAGUUCGGUCCCUAUCCGUCGCGGGCGUAGGAAAUUUGAGAGGAGCUGUCCUUAGUACGAGAGGACCGGGAUGGACUGACCUCUGGUGCACCAGUUGUUCUGCCAAGAGCAUGGCUGGGUAGCUAAGUCGGGAAGGGAUAAACGCUGAAAGCAUCUAAGCGUGAAGCCCCCCUCAAGAUGAGAUUUCCCAUAGCAUAAGCUAGUAAGACCCCUUGAAGAACACAAGGUUGAUAGGUCAGAGGUGGAAGUGCGGUAACGUAUGUAGCUGACUGAUACUAAUAGGUCGAGGGCUUGAUC
rnacentral:rRNA from 1 species